AUUUCAGAAAGGCGAGGCUCCUGUGG
rnacentral:piRNA from 1 species